rnacentral:pre_miRNA from 1 species
AAACUACUCCCUCCGUCCCAUAAUUCUUGUCGUUGUUUUAGUUCAAAUUUGAACUAAAACAACGACAAGAAUUAUGGGACGGAGGGAGUACGUG